rnacentral:rRNA from 1 species
CGCUGAGGCGCGAAAGUGUGGGGAGCAAACAGGAUUAGAUACCCUGGUAGUCCACACUGUAAACGAUGAAUGCUAGGUGUAGGGGGUAUCGACCCCUUCUGUGCCGCAGUUAACACAAUAAGCAUUCCGCCUGGGGAGUACGGCCGCAAGGUUGAAACUCAAAGGAAUUGACGGGGGCCCGCACAAGCAGCGGAGCAUGUGGUUUAAUUCGACGCAACGCGAAGAACCUUACCAGGUCUUGACAUCCAGUAAAAGCCAUAGAGAUAUGGUGUGAGCUUGCUCAUACUGAGACAGGUGGUGCAUGGUUGUCGUCAGCUCGUGUCGUGAGAUGUUGGGUUAAGUCCCGCAACGAGCGCAACCCUUAUUUUCAGUUACUAACGCGUGAAGGCGAGGACUCUGAAGAGACUGCCGGGGACAACUCGGAGGAAGGUGGGGACGACGUCAAAUCAUCAUGCCCCUUAUGACCUGGGCUACACACGUGCUACAAUGGCCACCACAGAGAGGAGCGAACCCGCGAGGGGGAGCGGAUCUCAAAAAAGUGGUCCCAGUUCGGAUUGUGGGCUGCAACCCGCCCACAUGAAGUCGGAGUUGCUAGUAAUC